rnacentral:lncRNA from 1 species
AUGUGUGCACACAGUGUGGAGGGGAAAGAUUGCUGGCUAAUAAACAAACAAGGCAUGGCUAUACAGACAACUUGUGGGAAAUACCUGCAAGGGAACAUCAGGGUCAAGUUUGAAUGCUGGCACUUUAUCAGUCCAGGGCAUGAAUUUCUUUGUUUCCGGAUCGAUGUAAUAGUCGAAAAUUGUCCCCUGAGCAGGAAACUUGAUGGCUUUGAACUCGUUCACCCACCACUUGCUGAACUCUGCACGGUAAUCCAUGAGCUUUUGGAGGGAACCAAAAGAGAAAAACUCAGAACACGGCCAACGUGGUCAUUUGGUGCUCCCACAGCAUCACAGACCAACCUGGUCCUGGAACAUGGCCCCACCGAAGGCCCAGGUGCAGGCAAAGAUGAAAUAGAGCUCAUAGAGCUCACGGGGAGAGUCUGGCGGCACGUUCUGUGGUGUCAGGAGGCACUCCAGCAGGUACAGGAUCAUCUGUAUCACCGUGAUCUCAGGGAUGGGGGUGAUCCUCUUGAAGCCAAACUUGAGCUUCUCCAGACACACGGGCACGUACUUAUCAAACAGAAUCAUCAGGUUGGCCUUCUCGGACUGCACGGCUCUCUUCUCAAUCCAGCUGGUCACCACACUGUGGAGGGAUGGGUGAGCAGGGCUGCAGGGAUCAGGGCCCCCCAUCCCAUCCCAUGCCCAUUCCAUCCCCAUGCCCAUCCCAUCCCGUGCUCACGGGCUCCAGCCCAGGUCUGCAGGGUUGAUGUAGAGGAUCCCUGCCCGGGACACAGUGGCCGGCGUGGCGGUGCGCAGAUGGCUGAUCUCAAAGAGCAGCCGCAUGGUGGGGUUGAGGGGGAUGCGCUCAUUGCUGGCCAAGGUGAGGACCUGGAGGAAGUGGUCUGUCACAAGGGCAGCUCUGAUUUUGGGGAGCGGGCACAAAGAGGUUUAUUAUCCUCAGUUCACAAGCCUAGCUCCUCGGGCGUGAUGGCACCAACCUUAUUGUCAUCCAUGACCGUGUUCAGGGACUCAAUCCACAUGGGGUCAAUAUCACCAUCAAGGAUGAUCCACUUGGGCCCCUUGUGUGUGAUGUUAGCCAGGUCACGCAUCGUUGAAGAAAACAGACCUAUCCAUACAGAGACAUAUGGGCUUUUCCUGCCCAGCUCUUCCUACUCAGAGCAGGUUUGCUAG